CCCUAUCUGCCGUGGGUGUACGAAGCUUGAGAGGAUCUGUCCCUAGUACGAGAGGACCGGGAUGGACAUACCUCUGGUGGACCUGUCGUGGCGCCAGCCGCGCAGCAGGGUAGCUAAGUAUGGACGGGAUAACCGCUGAAAGCAUCUAAGCGGGAAACCCACCUCGAAACAAGGCUUCGCCGAGAGCCGUGGUAGACCACCACGUUGAUAGGCCGGGUGUGGAAGCGCCGCGAGGCGUGAAGCUUACCGGUACUAAUAGCUCGAUCGGCUUGAUCGC
rnacentral:rRNA from 1 species